rnacentral:rRNA from 1 species
GAUGAACGCUGGCGGCGUGCCUAAUACAUGCAAGUCGAGCGAAGCGGGGACGGGUGAGUAACACGCGGAUAACCUCCUAUAAAACUGGGAUAACUUCGGUAACCCUGAGCUAUUCCGGAUACGUCUCCAUGGAUUUGUGCUGCAUUGGCUAGUGGGUAAGGUAACGGCUUACAAAGGCAACGAUGCAUAGCCGACCUGAGAGGCAGAUCAGCCACUCUGGAACUGAGACACGGUCCAGACUCCUACGGGAGGCAACAGUAGGGAAUUGUCCGCAAUGGGCAAGAACCUGACAGCGCCACGCCGUGUGAGUGAUGAAGGUCUUCGAAUUGUAAAAGUCUGUUGUUAGGGAAGCGGUACCUAAUCAAAAAGCCCCGGCUAACUACGUGCCAGCAGCCGCGGUAAUUC